rnacentral:rRNA from 1 species
GCCCAAAAUCUAGCCCAUUACAAACUAUACCACAAAAUAAAAAUUAAAAUAUUUUAUAAUUUAAGUAAAGACGAUUAAAAACCUAAUAGGAGCUAUACCAACGUACCGCAAGGGAAAAAUGAAAUAAAAUGAAAUAAUAAAUAAGCACAAAAAAGUAAAGACUACUACUUGUACCUUUUGCAUCAUGGUUUAACUAGUCUAAUCAAGCAAAAAGACUUUAAGUUUGACACCCCGAAACUGAGUGAGCUACUUCAGGGCAGCUUAUUGAGCAAACCCGUCCCUGUCGCAAAAGAGUGGGAAGACCUUGUAGUAGCGGUGACAAGCCUAACGAACUCAGUGAUAGCUGGUUACUCAAGAAAAGAAUCUCAGUCCAACCUAAAACAACCUAAUAACUUUAACUACCUGCUUUAGAGCAAUUCAAAUAAGGCACAGCCUAUUUGAAACAGGACACAACCUUAAACAACGGGUAAUUAAACUACAACUAAAACCAAGUUGGCCUAAAAGCAGCCACCUUAAAAGAGCGUCAAAGCCUAAUUCUAACAAUUUCUAAUACCUUAAUUAAUAAAGAACCCUUCAUCAAUAUUGAGUAAUUCUAUAACAUUAUAGAAAUUUUUAUGUUAAAACUAGUAACAAGAAGACACCCUUCUCUUUUAAUGUAAACAUAAAUCAGAUUGGAUGUACCACUGAUCCUUAUUCAGCUAAACAAACAGUACCACACUAGAAAACUCUGUUCUAUUUACUGUUAACCUAACACAAGAGCAUUUCAAGAAAGAUUAAAAGAAAAAGAAGGAACUCGGCAAAUAUUGAUCCCGCCUGUUUACCAAAAACAUCGCCUCCCGCUAAAAAUGAGAGGUCCAGCCUGCCCAGUGACACCAGUUCAACGGCCACGGUAUUCUGACCGCGCUAAGGUAGCGCAAUCACUUGUUUUUUAAAUAAAGACUAGUAUGAAAGGCACCACGAGAAUCAAACUGUCUCCUUUUUCAAAUCUGUGAAACUAAUCCCCCCGUGAAGAAGCGGGGAUUUUUACAUAAGACGAGAAGACCCUAUGGAGCUUCAGACAAAAUAAUACCUAUUUCACCCAUUUAAAAUCAUAUUAAAACAUGUUAAUUAUUUAGUCUUAGGUUGGGACGACCACGGAGUAAAACUAACCCUCCACGCCGAAAAGGAUAUUUCCUUAAGAAAAGAGCUACAACUCUACCCAUCAAUAAAUUGACAUCAUUGACCCAAUUACUUGAUCAACGAAACAAGUUACCCUAGGGAUAACAGCGCAAUCCACUUUAAGAGCCCUUAUCAACAAGUGGGUUUACGACCUCGAUGUUGGAUCAGGGUAUCCUAAUGGUGCAGCCGCUAUUAAAGGUUCGUUUGUUCAACGAUUAAAACCCUACGUGAUCUGAGU